AUCCAAGUAGGUCCGGAGGGAUUCACGUUCAGGAUAUUCCAAGCCGGAGAGAAGGACACUCAGCCGGAAUGCGAUCAGAUGACAGAAUUAAGGUGCAGAAGCGGCGAAUGCGUACCUCUAGAAUCUCGCUGCGAUGGCGUAUCGCAAUGCAACGAUAGUUCCGAUGAGGACAACUGCCCAACAGAUUUAUUGAAUAAGACACGUGACGAUUUUGAAUACACCACCGUGACAUCACAACAUCCCUC